UUAAUCUGAUUUAGUCUCUUUUUCCAUUUGCAAUUUGUCUGUAAGCACUUGGUGCUUUUUUACCCUUGGUUUUAUUCACUGCUUGAAAUGAUUCUUUGAUUUGCAGGGCGUUCACAGCCGUCUCAUUACAGACAGAAAUCUGUGAUAGCCAAGAAUUAAGUUUGAUUGGGCCCAUAUGUCAACUUGCCUCAUUUUUGCUCUCUCAGUGUCUCUCCUGUGACUGUAUUUAUGAUGCAACUGUUCAUGUUUUACAAGUUCAAAAUGGAGCUUCUCUGAUUAUUCCCUGGUAGUCACUUAAAAAGCUCUGUCUCCACAGGUUUCUGCCCUACUGCUGGUUCUGCUGAAUACUGAAAAAAGGACAGACUCCCAACUUCAGCUUCUGUGAUAUUUUUAGCUGUCUGCAGGAAGCGAGCGUGAUCAUUCUCCUUCAGCGACUGCUCAGCCUGAGAGAUGAGGGAUGUCGAGCGCUCAAUGCACUGUUUGCAGUUCGCAAUCUGCUGAGCCAGUUUUCUCAACCUCACCACCUUGAGUGAAAACAUAAGAAAGCAGUCACGUCUCUAAGAAGACAACGGAUGAUAAAUUGUAAAAGGAAGAGUUUCAUCUCACUCACUCCCCACCCACUUCUGCAAUGGCAGACCUUACAAAUAGAUAAUCAGGUAUUUCUAACUCAGGUGAGAGAAGCCUUGUCCUGUGAGUAUGGUCAUACCACACAUCAGUGAGAAGUAAAAUAUCUUCAGGAGGUGUUUAACACAUCAGUUUGCAGCCAUACAGAGGACUGCAGUGAACACUGAGGCACU